rnacentral:rRNA from 1 species
GAUGAACGCUGGCGGCGUGCCUAAUACAUGCAAGUCGAGCGAAUGGAUUAAGAGCUUGCUCUUAUGAAGCUAGCGGCGGACGGGUGAGUAACACAUGGGUAACCUGCCCAUAAGACUGGGAUAACUCCGGGAAACCGGGGCUAAUACCGGAUAACAUUUUGAACCGCAUGGUUCGAAAUUGAAAGGCGGCUUCGGCUGUCACUUAUGGAUGGACCCGCGUCGCAUUAGCUAGUUGGUGAGGUAACGGCUCACCAAGGCAACGCUGCGUAGCCGACCUGAGAGGGUGAUCGGCCACACUGGGACUGAGACACGGCCCAGACUCCUACGGGAGGCAGCAGUAGGGAAUCUUCCGCAAUGGACGAAAGUCUGACGGAGCAACGCCGCGUGAGUGAUGAAGGCUUUCGGGCCGUAAAACUCUGUUGUUAGGGAAGAACAAGUGCUAGUUGAAUAAGCUGGCACCUUGACGGUACCUAACCAGAAAGCCACGGAUAACUACGUGCCAGCCGCCGCAGUAA